rnacentral:rRNA from 1 species
GAUGAACGCUGGCGGCGUGCUUAACACAUGCAAGUCGAACGGAAAGGCUCCUGCUUGCAGGGGUACUCGAGUGGCGAACGGGUGAGUAACAAGUGGGUGAUCUGCCCUGCACUUCGGGAUAAGCCUGGGAAACUGGGUCUAAUACCGGAUAGGACGAUGGUUUGGAUGCCAUUGUGGAAAGUUUUUGCGGUUGUGGAUGGGCUCGCGGCCUAUCAGCUUGUUGGUGGGGUAAUGGGCUCCCAAGGCGUCGACGGGUAGCCGGCCCGGGAGGGGGUAAGGCCACCAUUGGGACGGGGAAAGGCCCCGACCCCUAACGGGGGGCGCAGGUGGGGAAAUUUGCACAAGGGGGGCAGCCCGAAUCCGGAACGGCGGCGGGGGGAAGACCGGCUUCGGGUUGGAAAACGCCUUCCGCAGGGACGGAGGCUUUAGUGACGGUACCUGGAGAAGAAGCACCGGCUAACUACGUG